rnacentral:ncRNA from 1 species
GGCCGCUUCCCUGCUUGCACCCGUACGGGUGGGCUGUGACCUUCGAGGUAGGGGGAGCAAACAUUUCAAAGAGGC